rnacentral:rRNA from 1 species
AUGCCGCUAUGUCGGUGUUGGAGCUGCGGAAAGACGUCACACCGCUAUUAUCUAUGUCCCAAGGUGAUAAAUCCAACACUCUUAACGCAAUUUCGUCCUAUUAGCUUAUGUAAUGUCAUAUACAAAAUUGCUUCCAAAGUUGUUGCGAACAGGUUGAAACUUAUCCUGCCAGAGAUAAUAUCAGAGGAGCAAUCAGCGUUCGUCCCAGGUCGGUUGAUAACUGACAAUAUUAUAUGUUUUAUGAAGAGAAGCAAAGCCAAAACAAAUAGCCAUUGUGCGUUGAAGUUGGACAUGAUGAAGGCAUAUGACAGAUUAGAAUGGCCGUACCUCAAGGCUAUCAUGAUCAAAUUGGGUUUUGCACAACAAUGGGUACAUAUCAUAAUGAGUAUGAUCAGUUCAAUAUCCUUUUUAGUUCUAUUCAACGGAGAGAAGCUUGAAUCUUUCAAACCAUCACGAGGUAUUCGACGGGGAGAUCCGAUCUCCCCCUAUCUUUUCUUGAUCACAACAGAGGGCCUUUCGUGCCUUCUAAAAACCAGUUCUCAGUCAUCUGCGCUUGAGGGGAUUAACGUGGCAAACACAGCUCCGACUGUCAACCACCUCCUCUUUGCGGAUGACAGCCCGUUGUUGUUCAAGGCUAGUACAGAGGGGGCAGUUGAGGUCUCUAACCUUUUGGAGGUAUAUUGUAAUUAA